ensembl:lncRNA
CGGAGCGCUCAGUAACGGCUUUUUGAGUUACCGAGGAGAUGGAGAGGGGGGCUUGUAAACCACGGCGAAACUGACUCGCGCGAAGGCAAAGGUCAGAGCCGUUGAGAGGAAGCGCGUUGGAAGACAAAUGGUUGAUGGGGAAACGACAUUGUUUUCUCCUCGUCGAGGCUGGUGAUUUAUAGAGGCCGAUUCCAAAUGGGAUUUCUGGCGAACCCUUGAGAAAUAACGAACCUUUGCACUGAGGUUUUAGGCGCGAGGAUAGAAGGGGAUCUGUGGCCUGCACCUGUGACUCAGGGCAGUGUGUGUGUGUGUGUGUGUGUGUGUGUGUUUGCAUGAGUGUUUGCAAGUUACAGUGUUUGUGUGUGUGGAGCGAGAGAGAGUGAGUGUGUGUGUGUGCACCUGUGUGUGUGUGUGUUUGUUUGCAUGAGUGUUUGCAAGUUAGAGUGUUUAUUUGUGUGUGUGUGUGGAGCGAGAGAGACAGUGAGUGACUGAGUGUGAGUGUGUGUGUGUGCACCUGUGUGUGUGUGAGUGUGUGAUAGAGAGAGUGUGAGUGAGUUUGAGAGAGAGGGUGUGUGUGUGUGUGUGUGUGUGUGUGUGUGCCUGCCCGUCUUUUUAAUCACUGACAGCCAUUUCCUGCCACUACAAUCACACCCAUCAUUUUCCUGCCUGGCUGCCUCUAAUUCAGCAGACAUGCAGAGAGAGAAGAAAAGACGGAAGAAGCAAGGCCAAAAUGCCACACAGAAGCCAAAACAAGUCUGAUAAGUCUGUAGAAGGACGAGUGAGCGCUCAGGAAACAGAAAAGGCAGAGAGAGGUGGAAGCCUCGUGGUCUGGGUCGUGUUCCUGCACGGCCGCCCCGUCCCUAAGGCUCUUCCUAUUGAGAUGUCACUUUCGCUACGGUGGGGAGGAGGAAUGCAACAGGCUCACUAAUCCACACACAAACACACACACACACACACACACACACACACAGUUCUUAUCUCACAUUCUCUCUCUGAGACGGGGUGAGGAGGGGUCAUCCAGGCGGACGUCUUUGGGGCCGCCGGCGCCCGGAACUGAACACGAACACACACACACAGACAGACACACCUACACACAUACACACACACACUAUACACACACACACAC